CUGCAGCUUAUUAAGCCGACCAGUUCAGCUCAUGUGCAGUUCUGGUGUGCAAAAGCUGCAGACAGUAACUCUCUGGUUGUGUAAGUCCUCAGCUGGGUGGUGCUGAGCGCUUUAAGGGACCACUGAGACAAAA